AGUGAACGCUGGCGGUAGGCCUAACAUAUGCAAGUCGAACGGCAGCACAGUAAGAGCUUGCUCUUACGGGUGGCGAGUGGCGGACGGGUGAGGAAUACAUCGGAAUCUACUUUUUCGUGGGGGAUAACGUAGGGAAACUUACGCUAAUACCGCAUACGACCUACGGGUGAAGGCAGGGGAUCUUCGGACCUUGCGCGAUUGAAUGAGCCGAUGUCGGAUUAGCUAGUUGGCGGGGUAAAGGCCCACCAAGGCGACGAUCCGUAGCUGGUCUGAGAGGAUGAUCAGCCACACUGGAACUGAGACACGGUCCAGACUCCUACGGGAGGAAGCAGUGGGGAAUAUUGGACAGUGGGCGCAAGCCUGAUCCAGCCAUACCGCGUGGGUGAAGAAGGCCUUCGGGUUGUAAAGCCCUUUUGUUGGGAAAGAAAAGCAGCAGGUUAAUACCCCGCUGUUCUGACGGUACCCAAAGAAUAAGCACCGGCUAACUUCGUG
rnacentral:rRNA from 1 species